UACACUACCUAGGUUAGCUAAUGAGGUGCUAACCACGCUCACCUGUAGCUAAUUAAUACAGCGCAGCGGAGAACUGCGUUCAGAUACGCUUCUAAUGAAAAUGUCAAUAUAACUAUAUUUUGGAGGCGAAAGGGAAGGAUUAAGACUGCCCAGUGUAAACUAUACCCUCCAGUAGUGGAUAUUGCCCCAGCUUUGAAAGACUCCAACUUAAAGAAAGGAAGAAGAAUCUCUAAUUAUCUCCAGUUAAGCAUCUCCAUCUCCAGCACCAGGUUCCGCCUUCCUUCAGGUCCAUAUGUCAUCAUGAAUCAACAAGCUGCCCAGUAACCAAUGGUGAAUUAGCUGGUCUAAAUGGAGCAGAUGAAUAAUUCUCUGUACUCCUCACUGAAUUGAUCAUCUUUAUUGUUACCAGCAAGCAGAUGAAUCCCUGAGGAGUGGGUUCUAUAAAAAACGCUGCUCCUCAGAGACAGCUUUUGGCACUGAGAGACAAGGAGCGGGACAAAGGUCACUUUGUGCAGUGUGUCAACAAUCAUCUGCCAACGCAACAGCAGUGUGUCUGGAGGCAGGACAUCCGGCAGAGAGGACAGUCGUUCAUGCCCGCCUCAGCUGUUCAGCUCGAAUAAAUAGCUUAUGCCACAGCUUCAGUGAAAAUGGUGCAAAUAUAUAAAUCACUGUGGCCAAUUGAUUUCCAUUAAACUGUUCUACUGCUUAAAAAAAAAGAGUAAUCGACAGGAAGUCAAGAGAAGCAGACAACAAUGCUGAUCCAAGUGAUCUAGAUAAAUAAUACUUUAAGAUCACAAUGACUAUCAUGCCAUUUCUUUUUCUGUGGUUUGUAAUCAUCCUGAAACCCAAAGCAUCUCAACAAACUUUCUGUGAUGUAGUUUGUCAUAUAAACAAAUUUUACUGCCAUGCAAUACUGACUAAGGGGGUUAAUCAAGGAUUAAUGAUUCAAUCAAUUUUUAUACCUGCUGU